GGAGGGAAUAACAUAUGGGAGGUGUGGCUGGCUUGAAACCAGUUAAAGGAGGUUCGAGUCCUUCUUCCCUUG
rnacentral:tRNA from 1 species